CACGGAGUUAGCCGAUCCUUAUUCUUACGGUACCGUCAAUCUGCCACACGUGGCAGGGUUUCUUCCCGUACAAAAGCAGUUUACACACCAUAGAUGCGUCAUCCUGCACGCGGCAUGGCUGGUUCAGGCUUGCGCCCAUUGACCAAUAUUCCUCACUGCUGCCUCCCGUAGGAGUCUGGUCCGUGUCUCAGUACCAGUGUGGGGGAUCUCCCUCUCAGGACCCCUACCCAUCAUUGUCUUGGUGUGCCGUUACCACACCAACUAACUAAUGGGACGCAUGCUCAUCUUACACCGUUGGAACUUUAAUAUGUCGGGGAUGUCCCCAUCAUAUACUAUAAGGUAUUAAUCCAAAUUUCUCUGGGCUAUCCCUUAGUGUAAGGCAGAUUGCAUACGCGUUACGCACCCGUGCGCCGGUCUCUAAAUCCGAAGACUUAUACCCCUCGACUUGCAUGUGUUAGGCCUGCCGCUAGCGUUCAUCCUGAGCCAGGAUCAAA
rnacentral:rRNA from 1 species